rnacentral:sRNA from 1 species
AUUCUGCCCAUGCGGGGAAGGAUGAGAAGCUUCGACCAAGGUUCGACUAGAGCGCCAGCGAGAGAGCGUUGCCGCAGGCAACGACCCGAAGGGCGAAGCGCGCAGCGCUGAGUAAUCCUUCCCCCACCACCA